UUAUGACAGAAAUUCAGAAAAGAACCAAAAAUUUAGAAAAGAUUAGCAUGGCCCCUGUGCAAGGAUGACAUGCAAAUCUGUGAAGUGUUCCACAAUUUU
rnacentral:snRNA from 1 species